GAUGAACGCCGGCGGCGUGCCUAAUACAUGCAAGUCGAGCGAACGGACGAGAAGCUUGCUUCUCUGAUGUUAGCGGCGGACGGGUGAGUAACACGUGGAUAACCUACCUAUAAGACUGGGAUAACUUCGGGAAACCGGAGCUAAUACCGGAUAAUAUUUUGAACCGCAUGGUUCAAAAGUGAAAGACGGUCUUGCUGUCACUUAUAGAUGGAUCCGCGCUGCAUUAGCUAGUUGGUAAGGUAACGGCUUACCAAGGCAACGAUGCAUAGCCGACCUGAGAGGGUGAUCGGCCACACUGGAACUGAGACACGGUCCAGACUCCUACGGGAGGCAGCAGUAGGGAAUCUUCCGCAAUGGGCGAAAGCCUGACGGAGCAACGCCGCGUGAGUGAUGAAGGUCUUCGGAUCGUAAAACUCUGUUAUUAGGGAAGAACAUAUGUGUAAGUAACUGUGCACAUCUUGGCGGUACCUAAUCAGAAAGCCACGGCUAACUACGUGCCAGCAGCCGCGGUAAUACGUAGGUGGCAAGCGUUAUCCGGAAUUAUUGGGCGUAAAGCGCGCGUAGGCGGUUUUUUAAGUCUGAUGUGAAAGCCCACGGCUCAACCGUGGAGGGUCAUUGGAAACUGGAAAACUUGAGUGCAGAAGAGGAAAGUGGAAUUCCAUGUGUAGCGGUGAAAUGCGCAGAGAUAUGGAGGAACACCAGUGGCGAAGGCGACUUUCUGGUCUGUAACUGACGCUGAUGUGCGAAAGCGUGGGGAUCAAACAGGAUUAGAUACCCUGGUAGUCCACGCCGUAAACGAUGAGUGCUAAGUGUUAGGGGGUUUCCGCCCCUUAGUGCUGCAGCUAACGCAUUAAGCACUCCGCCUGGGGAGUACGACCGCAAGGUUGAAACUCAAAGGAAUUGACGGGGACCCGCACAAGCGGUGGAGCAUGUGGUUUAAUUCGAAGCAACGCGAAGAACCUUACCAAAUCUUGACAUCCUUUGACAACUCUAGAGAUAGAGCUUUCCCCUUCGGGGGACAAAGUGACAGGUGGUGCAUGGUUGUCGUCAGCUCGUGUCGUGAGAUGUUGGGUUAAGUCCCGCAACGAGCGCAACCCUUAAGCUUAGUUGCCAUCAUUAAGUUGGGCACUCUAAGUUGACUGCCGGUGACAAACCGGAGGAAGGUGGGGAUGACGUCAAAUCAUCAUGCCCCUUAUGAUUUGGGCUACACACGUGCUACAAUGGACAAUACAAAGGGCAGCGAAACCGCGAGGUCAAGCAAAUCCCAUAAAGUUGUUCUCAGUUCGGAUUGUAGUCUGCAACUUGACUACAUGAAGCUGGAAUCGCUAGUAAUCGUAGAUCAGCAUGCUACGGUGAAUACGUUCCCGGGUCU
rnacentral:rRNA from 1 species